CCUACGGGUGGCAGCAGUGGGGAAUAUUGGGCAAUGGAGGAAACUCUGACCCAGCAACGCCGCGUGAAUGAUGCAGGUCUUCGGAUUGUAAAGUUCUUUUCUAAGGGAAGAAGCACGUGACGGUACCUUAGGAAUAAGCCUCGGCUAACUACGUGCCAGCAGCCGCGGUAAUACGUAGGACGCAAGCGUGAUUCGGAAUGACUGGGCGUAAAGGGUGCGUAGGUGGUUUGGCAAGUUGGUAGCGUAACUCCGGGGCUCAACCUCGGCACUGCUACCAAAACUGUCGGACUUGAGUGCAGGAGGGGCAGAUGGAAUUCCUGGUGGAGCGGUGGAAUGCGUAGAUAUUAGGAGGAACACCAGUGGCGAAGGCGAUUUGCUGGACUGUAACUGACGCUGAGGCACGAAAGCGUGGGGAGCGAACAGGAUUAGAUACCCGGGUAGUC
rnacentral:rRNA from 1 species